GCAGAUGGCAGAGUAAAGAGCGGUUAUAGAGACAGCGAUCAGGAGAGAUGUUCUCCCACUCCAGGAAUUGCCCCAGAUCUUGCAGUGUUUUAUGGCUUCGCAAAGAGACGCACUGGGAAAGCAGAUUGCCCCAGUAGCACUGCCACAUAUGGUUUCUGGAGUGGAACCACUUUCUGCACAGGAUGCACCAGUGGAAGGAUGUGUGGGGAUCCCGUCUUGCUAAACACCAGCCCCUUACACUUGUGAGAUAGUUCUGGCAUAGACUAAAGACAUGGGUGGAUGAAGAUGGAAAGGAAGAGGAGGAAGAGGUGCAUUAGGAUCCACAAUCACCUUCCUGUACAACAAAAUUAAUUAUUGAUAAAAAUACAGUCAC